GGUUAGUAUAGACGUACCCUCUUGAGAGAUUAUGGGCCUGUGUCUUAUUAGCUACCUCCUAGCUAAAACUUACCAGUGAGGGAUCAGGUGGUUAUAAAUCAGCAACUCGCUUUAGGUGGACAGAGAGCUACAGGAAGAUUAUUGAUAAAAAUGGGCAGAAAACUGGUCCCUGUGGCAUAGAUUCAGCAAAUCUGGACCGAUGAGUAUGUUUCACAAGGCUGGAGAGAAUCCAUCCAGCUACAGGAAGAAGGCAAUAAAACUAAG